rnacentral:rRNA from 1 species
GAUGAACGCUGGCGGCGUGCCUAAUACAUGCAAGUCGAGCGAACAGACGAGGAGCUUGCUCCUCUGACGUUAGCGGCGGACGGGUGAGUAACACGUGGAUAACCUACCUAUAAGACUGGGAUAACUUCGGGAAACCGGAGCUAAUACCGGAUAAUAUAUUGAACCGCAUGGUUCAAUAGUGAAAGACGGUUUUGCUGUCACUUAUAGAUGGAUCCGCGCCGCAUUAGCUAGUUGGUAAGGUAACGGCUUUCCAAGGCAACGAUGCGUAGCCGACCUGAGAGGGUGAUCGGCCACACGGGAACGUGAACACGGUCCAGACUCCUACGGGAGGCAGCAGUAGGGAAUCUGCCGCAAUGGGCGAAAGCCUGACGGAGCAACGCCGCGUGAGUGAUGAAGGUCUUCGGAUCGUAAAACUCUGUUAUGAGGGAAGAACAAAUGUGUAAGUAACUAUGCACGUCUUGACGGUACCUAAUCAGAAAGCCACGGCUAACUACGUG